UAGACCAAUGAUGAGAACUGGUGGCAUAGGAAUCCUAUGGGGUUGAGUGCUACACGUCUGUAAUUCUGAGUCCAC
ensembl:snoRNA